AAUCAACGCUGGCGGCGUGCCUCAGACAUGCAAGUCGAACGCUUAAAGCUCUCUUCGGAGAGUGCAUAGAGUGGCGCACGGGUGAGUAACACGUAAGUAAUCUACCCUCGAGUGGGGAAUAACAGUCGGAAACGACUGCUAAUACCGCAUAAUGCAGCGGCACCGCAAGGUGACAGUUGUUAAAGGAGCAAUCCGCUUGAGGAGGAGCUUGCGGCAGAUUAGCUAGUUGGUAGGGUAAUGGCUUACCAAGGCUACGAUCUGUAUCCGGUCUAAGAGGACGGUCGGAGACACUGACACUGAAUAACGGGUCAGACUCCUACGGGAGGCAGCAGUCGGGAAUUUUGGGCAAUGGGCGAAAGCCUGACCCAGCAACGCAGCGUGAAGGAUGAAGUAUUUCGGUAUGUAAACUUCGAAAGAAUAGGAAGAAUAAAUGACGGUACUAUUUAUAAGCUCCGGCUAACUACGUGCCAGCCGCCGCAGUAAAAC
rnacentral:rRNA from 1 species